UUGCAUAUAUUUUAACUUUUCUGGUUUUGUAAUAAUCAGAGCAGGCUAAAAUGUGUACUAUAUAAGAUCAUAUAUUUAUAUGUAUAUAUAUAUAUAUCUCCAGACUUACAUGGGUCUGGUAUUAUAAAUGUUGGUAAUACAA